UACGUAGGGCGCAAGCGUUGUCCGGAAUUAUUGGGCGUAAAGAGCUCGUAGGCGGUUUGUCGCGUCUGCUGUGAAAACCUAAGGCUCAACCUUGGGCUUGCAGUGGGUACGGGCAGACUAGAGUGCGGUAGGGGUGACUGGAAUUCCUGGUGUAGCGGUGAAAUGCGCAGAUAUCAGGAGGAACACCGGUGGCGAAGGCGGGUCUCUGGGCCGUAACUGACGCUGGAGGAGCGA
rnacentral:rRNA from 1 species